UAGUUCAGCUGGAUAGAAUGUCUGCCUACGGAGCAGAUGGUCGUAGGUUCGAAUCCUGC
rnacentral:tRNA from 1 species